rnacentral:rRNA from 1 species
GACGAACGCUGGCGGCGUGCUUAACACAUGCAAGUCGAACGGAAAGGCCCUGCUUUUGUGGGGUGCUCGGGUGGCGAACGGGUGAGUAACACGUGAGUAACCUGCCCUUGACUUUGGGAUAACUUCAGGAAACUGGGGCUAAUACCGGAUAGGAGCUCCUGCUGCAUGGUGGGGGUUGGAAAGUUUCGGCGGUUGGGGAUGGACUCGCGGCUUAUCAGCUUGUUGGUGGGGUAGUGGCUUACCAAGGCUUUGACGGGUAGCCGGCCUGAGAGGGUGACCGGCCACAUUGGGACUGAGAUACGGCCCAGACUCCUACGGGAGGCAGCAGUGGGGAAUAUUGCACAAUGGGCGGAAGCCUGAUGCAGCAACGCUGCGUGCGGGAUGACGGCCUUCGGGUUGUAAACCGCUUUCGCCUGUGACGAAGCGUGAGUGACGGUAAUGGGUAAAGAAGCACCGGCUAACUACGUG